rnacentral:rRNA from 1 species
UUGAUCCUGCCGGANGCGACCGCUUUUGGAGUUCGAUUAANCCAUGCGAGUCGAGAGUCUUAGGGACUCGGCAAACUGCUCAGUAACACGUGGAUAACCUGCCCUGUGCUCUGGGAUAACCUCGGGAAACUGAGGAUAAUACCAGAUAGUCCACCACGCCUGGAACGGUGGGUGGAUCAAAGGUCACGGCACAGGAUGGGUCUGCGGCGUAUCAGGUUGUAGGGGGUGUAACGGACCCCCUAGCCUUCGACGCGUACGGGUGUUGGGAGACAUAGCCCGGAGAUGGAUUCUGAGACACGAAUCCAGACCCUACGGGGUGCAGCAGGCGCGAAAACUUCACACUGCAGGAAACUGUGAUGAGGGAACUCCAAGUGUGUGCGUUUUACGUACACUUUUCUGAACUCUUAAUCGGUUCAGGAAUAAGGGCUGGGAAAGACCGGUGCCAGCCGCCGCGGUAAUACCGGCAGCUCNNGUGGUCGUCGCUUUUAUUGGGCCUAAAAC